CCGCAUCAAAUUGAUACUUUAUCAGUGUUUCAGUCUAUUAGGCCAUCGAAUACUUCCAGGCUUGGGACUAUUUUUGAGCCACUAAAGGUAACUCCACUAAGUCUGGUUUCCCUAUUGCAUUUUCUAUUGGGCCAAAUGCUUCAUUGCCCCAUACAUCUGCUGAGUCAUCUACUUGGUACCCUGACUCAGGUGCCACCAAUCACGUGUAUCAAGAGGCCUCAGUAUUAAAUUUUUCAAGUGAAUAUUUUGGUAAUAUUCCUUUUCUUGUGGGUGAUGGUACGAGUGCCAAUAUUGAGCAUUUGGGUCAUAGGACAAUUUCUGCUUCAUAUAAAUUAUUUCAUUUAACAAAUGUGUUACAUGUACCUAAGAUUUAGAAAAAUUUGCUCCCUGUUUCUCAAUUUUCUCAGGAUAAUAAUGUCUUUUUUGAGUUUCACCCGUUUCAUUGUCUUGUAAAUGAUAUACAAACUCAGGAAAUUUUACUCCGAGGCCACACACAUGAGGGGUUGUAUCGGUUCUCUCCGACAAUGUCUUUUGUCAACAUGGGGUCUAUUCAAGGUACUGAGAUGUCUCUUCAAAAUACAGAGUUGGGCACCAAGCAAAAAGCGUUUGAGCUGUGGCAUCGUCAACUUGGACAUCUGUCGUCGAAUGUUGUAAGUUCGGUUUUAAAAAGUUGUAAUACUAUUGUUGAUGCUAAUAAAUUACAGUAUAUUUGUUCUGCUUGUCAACAAAGGAAGUCACAUAA
rnacentral:lncRNA from 1 species